rnacentral:sRNA from 1 species
ACAAACGAGGGACCAGGUUCUGAAAGUGU